GCUCUGAUUUGACCUCUAGCCUAGGAAUUAACAUAUGCUAUGGGUGUGGCCUUAAGAACAAAAAAGAAAUGUGAAAACAAACAUCAGAAAAAUAGUUAAAAUUUUUGAAAAUAAAUGCCUCUGAGAUGGGUAGGAGAAGACUGCGGCAUUUCUUAGCUUAUCUAAGCUUUUCGGCUAAAUUUAAUUUCAAUGUAGGUACAUAUAUCACCUUGAUGAACAUAAACAAAAAUAACAGUACUUUAUACUCACUAUGAAAAAUUCAAACUUAAAGUUAUAAAGAAAAAAGUAAAACCUGUCCAUCAUCCUGCAACCCAGCAGCAACCGCUUUAACAGUUUCAGUAUCUCUAUACAUGCAUAUGAGGAGGAUUCAGUUCCAGAGCACAAUGAUGGCAGGCAGUAGAUUUAUGGUUUGAGUCCAGUUUAUUUAGUACUAGCCAUGUGACUUUGAAACUUCAAUUUCUUCACCUGUAAAAUGGAGAUACUGAUGCUAUCUAUUUCACUAGGCUAUUGGGAAUUAAAUGAAAUAAUGUAUGUGAAGGAGGCAGCUCAGAUUCUAAAUGUAGCAAGUAUGCAAUAAAUGUUAAUAUGUUUCUCUUUCUUAAAAAAAGAAACAGAUAUUACGUACGUUGUUUCAUUAAUGCACCUAAGCCAGUUUUUUAAAAACUGAAGUAUAGUUGAUUCAUAACAUGGUGUUAGUUUCAGGUAUACAGCACAGUGAUUCAGUUAUAUUUAUCUUCUUCUGCUUUUCUUCCCUUACAGGUUAAGCCAAUUUUACAGAAAUAGAUCAUAAUUGAAGAAAUCACAAAUACCUUGGUGGUAUUUAUGAGCAAAUAUAAUUUUCAAGAUGAUAACUAAUGUUUCAAAGAAAAAAAAAGGGAACACAGAACUGGUGGAGCCUUUCCCUAGGGCCAAGGAUAAUCUACUAGUUAAAAUGGAAAUAAAAUUGAAUUGAUUAAAAAAAAAA